AACAGUGAAAGGUUGUAAAAAAGUAUCCAAGGAUAUUUAUCCCCAGGCUGUCAAUAUCAGUAUCAACAGUAAUAAGAUAGAAUAAAGAGAUAAAACAUUUGAAAUACAACCAUCAGCUUUAUCUUUGUUUAAAAAAAAAAAAAAAAAAAAAAAAAAAACCUACAACUGACGGGUCCUGAGCUAGCUCAAUUGAGCAGGGAGCUGAAUCGCACCAGCGCCUGCAGGUUUUACCUCCACACCAGGCAGCUGAGCUCUGGGGAAAAGGAGUUAAGAUGAAUCAGAUGCCCUAGACUUCCCUAAACUUUCACUUUUUAAACACUACUAGAGUGAGUUCUCACCCAAGCUAUCCUUUAGGAAAUCCAGUGUGAUGUUGUGCCUAAAGCCAUACAACGCUGAAUUAUCUUCAAAGUACUCCUUAAAUUUUAUCCUCAAAGAUGAACCGAUUUUCUUGUGACAUAUAUAUGCAACUUCAAUUAAUUUUGUUAUUCAGGUGAAAUACUUGUGUUUUCACCUGUUAAUGGAAGCUAAGGAGGGCUUUCUUUCCUCCCAAAAGAUGCCCAGCUUUGCGCUUUUGGGGGGUUUUUAAAGUCUUGGUCAUGGCCUCUCACUAAUUCUAAUUAUUACGCAAUAUACAUCUCUCUAGCAUUUCAUUUUAUGAUGGGAAGAGCAGAGGAGGCUGCAUAAAACUUAAUGUAAGUUUUGCAGCUAUAAGCAAUGAAUUUGUUAUUGUGAAAAUGCUUUGCCUUUGCAAAGUAAGUUAACAAGAAAUUGGUUGUUUCUUCAUGAACGCUAUACCAGUUCUGUGUAUGUCUUAGAAAAUUCAGGACUAGCCAAAGAAAAAAGUCUGUGGGUAAAUGUAACUCCCUUGAUGUGUGUAACCAAGAGACCUAAGUCAUAUGCACUUACACAAAAUUGUUUAUUGAGUUCAUACCAACAUUCAGACACUGAAGGAGGGAGUUCAUUUGUUUUUCGCAGCAACCCUAAAAGGUAGGAACUAUUUUCCCAAUUUUAGAACUGAGAAGGAGAAAAACAAAAAUCAUUAAGUAAUCUGACUAAGGUCACCCAGCUAAGAAGUGGCAGAUCAAGGUGUCAAACAUCAGGAGAGCAGCCAAGAUGGCGGAGCAUCAAGACUUUUUCCCACGGGCGCCAACAUAACAGCUAUUUACAGAGUAACUACUGACGAGAAAACUAGCAGGAAAGAGCUUCUAUCACUAAAGACAUAAAAAAGGAACUACAACGAGAUGGGUAGGAUGGGAAUGAUGUGAUUUAGUCAAGACCUACACCCCCAAGUAGACAACCCACAAACAGGAUGAUAAUCAUACAAGUGCAAGAUUCUCUCCAAGGAACAAGGGUUUGGAGCCCCACAUCAGGCUCCCCAACUCAGGGUCCUUGCACCACAAAGAGAAGCCCCCAGAACAUCUGGCUUUGAAAUCCAGCAGGUCUUGCUUUGAGGAGAGUCAGAGGGCUUAUGGGAAAUAAGCACUGCAGCCAGAGACCCAGGACCUGGUUCCACAUAUCAGUUGGCCAGGACUAGUCCCAGGACCCAGUCUUACCCAUGAGUGAGCUGACAUUAGUUCUGGCACACCCCGGACCCCAGCAGUCAGCCACAUCAGGAACUAGCCCUGCCCACGAGAGGACUGAUACUAGCCCUGAGACUCAGGGAGCCUGCAGCCACCGACAUCAAGAAAUGGCCCACCCACCAGCAGAUUGACAUCAGCUAGCUCUGAAACCCUGGGACCCCACAGCCAGGUGACCCCAUGACCUGACCUCACCUCCUGGUGGCCAGAAGCCUUCAUACUAGAUAGGGCCUGGCAACCAACUGGGCCAGGGGCCAGCCACACCCACCAGCUUUCCCACAGCAGUUGGUCCCAACACAAGAGAAGGGCCACACAGCCCAUCUAAUGGGCACCCCUAGAGCAUAUAGUUCUGGUGACCAGAGGAGAGUGUACUGCUGGGCCUGACAGAACUUCUCCCACAGGGGCCAUUUCUUCAAGAUCAGGAAACAUUACCAACCUAAUACACAGGAAUAAAAACAGAGAUUUAGGCAAAAUGAGGAGACAGAGGAAUGUGUUCCAAAUGAGGAACAAGAUAAAACUCCAGGAGAACUAAACAAGGAGGAAAUAAGUUCAGGGCAGUAAUCAUAAAGAUGCUCAAAUAACUUGGGAGAAGUACAGAUGAACACAGUGAGAACUUCAACAAAGAGGUAGAAGAUAAAAAGAAGAACCAGAGUUGAAGAAUAUAAGAACUGAAAUGAAAAAGUACAGUAGAAGCAAUUAACAGUAGAUUAUGAGACAGAGGAACAGAUUUGCAAACUAAAAGACAGAGGAAUGGAAACAACCCAAAUGUCCAUCGAUAGAUGAUUGGAUUCGGAAGAGGUGGUAUAUAUACACAAUGGAAUACUACUCAGCCAUAAAAAAGAAUGACAUAAUGCCAUUUGCAGCAACAUGGAUGGAACUAGAGAAUCUCAUACUGAGUGAAAUGAGCCAGAAAGACAAAGACAAAUACCAUAUGAUAUCACUUAUAACUGGAAUCUAAUAUCCAGCACAAAUGAACAUCUCCUCAGAAAAGAAAAUCAUGGACUUGGAGAAGAGACUUGUGGCUGCCUGAUGGGAGGGGGAGGGAGUGGGAGGGAUCGGGAGCUUGGGCUUAUCAGACACAACUUAGAAUAGAUUUACAAGGAGAUCCUGCUGAAUAGCAUUGAGAACUUUGUCUAGAUACUCAUGUUGCAACAGAAGAAAGGGUGGGUGAAAAAAUGUAAUUGUAAUGUAUACAUGUAAGGAUAACCUGACCCCCUUGCUGUACAGUGGGAAAAUAAAAAAAUUAUAAAAAAAAUAAAAAAAAAUAAAAAAUAAAUAAAUAAAUGCUGCUAUAAAUGAUAGAAAAAAAAAAAAAAAAGACAGAGGACUGGAAAUCACUUGAGAUGAACCAAGAAAAAGAAAAAAGAGUUUUUAAAAAUGAGGACAGUUUAAGAAACAUAUGGAAUGGUGCCAAGUACACCAACACUGGCAUUACAGAAGCCCCAAAUGGAAAAGUGAGAAAUAAAGGGAUAAGAACAUAUGGGAUGGAAAUCCUGUGAAAUUGUAUUGUUAUGAUCAUUCUAUAACUGCAGAUGUGAUAAAUUCGAGUAAUAAAAAAACAAACAAUCAAAAAAGAACAUAUUUGAACACAUAACAGCUAAAAAGUUCCCUAACCUAGGAAAGGAAAGGAAACAGACAUCCAGGUCGAGGAAGCACAGAGAGUCCCAAAUAGAAUCAACACUAAGAGGUCUACACCAACACAUGUUGUAAUUAAAAUGACAAAAGUUAAAGAUUUAACACCCAUCCUUCUCAAACUGCUCCAAAAAAUUGCAGAGGAAGGAAUACUUCCAAACUCAUACUAUGAGGCCAGCCAUCACCCUGACAUGAAAAUCAGAAAAAGAUAUCACAGGAAAAGAAAAGUACAGGCCAAUAUCACUAAAAACAUGGUUCAAUAUCCUCAAAUCAAUCAACGUGAUACACCACAUUAACAAACUGAAGAAUAAAAACCAUAUGAUUAUCUCAAUUAAUGCAGGAAAAGAUUUUGACAAAUUUCAACAUCUAUUUAUGAUUUUAAAUAUUCUCUAGGAGUUUCUGUCAUGGCUCAGUGGUUAACAAAUCUGACUAGGAACCAUGAGGUUGCGAGUUCGAUCCCUGGCCUCUCUCAGUGGGUGAAGGAUCCAGUGUUGCCAUGAGCUGUGGUGUAGGUCACAGACACGGCUCAGAUCCCGAGUUGCUAUGGCUGUGGCGUACGCCAGCAGCUAUAGCUCCAGUUUGACCCCUAGCUAGGGAACCUCCAUAUGCCACAGGGGUGGCCCUAAAAAGACAAGAAAAAAAAAAUUCUCCAGAAAGCAGUCAUAGAGGGAACAUACUUCAACAUAAUAAAGGCCGUAUAUGAUAAGCCCACAGCUAAUAUCACACUCAAAGGUAAAAAGCUGAAACCAUUUCCCCAAGAACAGGAAUGAGACAAGGAUGUCCACUCUUGCCGACUUUAUUCAUUAUUGAAAGCCUUAGCCACAGUGAUAGGACAAGAAAAUUUUAAAAAGGAACCUAAAUUGGAAAGGAAGAAGUAAAACUGUCACUGUCAUCAGAUGAGAUGAAACAACAUAUAGAAAAUCCUAAAGAUAUCAUCAAAAAACCGUGAGAACUAUUAAAUGAAUUCAGUACAACUGCAGGAUACAAAAUUAAUAUACAGAAAUUGUUGCAUUUCUAUAUACUAACAACAAACCAUCAGAAAAGGAAAUUAAAAAAACAAUCUGAUGUGUAAUCACAUCAAAAAGAAAAAAAUAUCUAGGAAUAAAUCUAACUAAGGAGGUAAAAGACCUGUACUCAGAAAACUAUUAGGUGCUGAUGAAAGAAAUUGAAGAUGACACAAACAUAUGGAAAGAUAUACUGUGUUCAUGAAUUGAAGAAAUUAAUAUUGUUAGAAUGACCACACUACCAAAGGCAGUCUACAAAUUCAAUGCAAUCUCUAUCAAAACACCAAUAGCAUUUUUCACAGAAAAAGAACAAAUAAUUCUAAAAUGUGUAUGGAAUACAACAGACUUCAAAGAGUUGAAACAAUCUUGAGAAUAAAGGACAAAGGUGGAGACAUCACACACCCUGAUCUCAAACUAUAUAACAAAGCAACAAUUAUCAAAACAGUGUGGCACUGGCACCAAAACAGAUAUAUCAAACAAUGGAAUAGAAUAGAACCCAGAAAUGAAUCAAUUAUAAGGUCAAUUAAUCUACAAAAAGAAUGCAAGAAUAUACAAUAGGGAAGACACUCUCUUCAAUAAAUUG
rnacentral:lncRNA from 1 species